GUCUCUUCGGUGACAUACGAUAAAUUUGGAACGAUAGAGAGAAGAUUAGUGCGAUCAUCAUGCACGAAUCAUGAAAACAUCCCAAUUUUU
rnacentral:snRNA from 1 species